GGCUGAUUAGUUUACAGGAAAACGGGUGUUUUGAAAACACCAGAAAAGAAAUAAUCUUCUUAUUAGCCGC
rnacentral:tRNA from 1 species